GGGGCUCCCUGGGCCACUGUAGUGGAGGCUGGCUCAACACCAGGUCUGCAGGACCAGUUCCUUCACCAGCGGUGCCAGUGAGACUGAGGCCAGUGCCGGGAGAAGCAGGAAGAGGUGCCUUGAAUGGGUGCUCACGAGGACCAGGUGGCACAUAGGUGGGGAAGAUGCUCUCGGGAAGCUGGGUUGGCUCCGCCUGCCCACCUCUGCCCUGGCCGCUGUAUCUGGCCGGAAGAAGCAGGAAGGGUGCAAACCCUGAAAUGCUGAGCACUCACCCCAAGGCAACCGAGCCAACCCCAGGAAGACCACAUGAAACUAAGGGGCGACAGACAUUCAAUUGGCAAUGAACUUGCCGAUGAGGAGUCGCUGUCCUCCCCCUAACCCCCACCAUCAAGGGAGGGGCAUUCAAGCAUGAGACGAGAUCCUUUGGGCAGUAGGGACCACCGUGACCGUGUGAUGGAUGACGAUGCUUACAAGGCCAUGGUCUACUUGGGGACCCUUCCAGCAUGUGACAGGAGACAUCCGUGGUGAUUAGUCAGGGGCUGCAUGGGAACAGCCUGCUGACUCCCGGGCGUGUCACGGCAGUGGCUUCCAAGCCAUCACUCCCUCCAGCACAGGAGGAGGCCCAGAUGAAAAGCCUCAAAGAUGCCUGGCAAAUGAUGUGCAGGAAAGAAUUAUGCAUCUUGUUCCAAUUAAGAUGUUGGAAGAGAAGAGCAUCUAAUUGUCCCACAAUUACCUUUAUUUAUCAAACUCAGAAUGAAGUGUGGUUGUGAAGCAUCUCAGGAGAGCUGUGUGGAGCUGGGGACGGUCCAGGCUCUGACGGGCAUCCUAGCCACGGCAGAAGAGAAGAUCCAAGGAUGGAGCAUUUUCCAGAUCCAAGAAUGGAGAGUUUUCUAGAGCCCUGGACAGCGUUUUCCCAGACCUAGGAAUGGAACUUUCCAGAGCUGGGGAUUGAGAAUUCUCUUGAGCCAGAAAUAACAUGCCUCAACUCAUUGUCGUAGGCUUUUGCAGAGGGAGGCAGGGAAAAAUGUGAAGAUGGAGGGGCCAGGUCUCGGUCAGAGUGGAGAAGAGCCUCUCCUCCAGAGGCAAAGGGUGCUGGCAUCCGGGCUGCUCGAUCUCUUGGGGUAUCCACAGUCACGCCGAGACCCCAUCAGACUCCACCCUUCGUGAUUACAACUCCCAGACAGCAGGAGGCAAAGCUCAUCAGCGUCUCAGAGACACAAACCUGCUUGAAAAUGGUUCCCACUCCCAGAUGAUCCAGAGCUAUGCCCCAAGGUCAAUGUGAAAGCUCAUUGAAUCAUUUUACUGCAGUGGAGAAAAAAGUCUAAAAGCAAGUUCCCUGCCUCAACCCUAUGGACAGAAAGGACCUCAGGGCCUCUUUUGUCAACUGGGGUGUUGAGCUUGCCUCCUUUCAUCAUUACGUUGGUAAUUUGUGCACUCGCCCUAAAUAAAUAGUAGUGAAUAGAUCUAGGUAUUGGAACGGAUAGGAAUUUGGCAUCAUCAGAACCAGCUUAGGAUCCAUUGGCAAGCUUCUGUUCAGUCCAGGCUUCAGUUUUCCCAUUUGACAAAUGGCAACACCGUGGUUCAUCCUGUGUGUGAAGCGCCCCAGCAUGGCGACCAGGGGGUGGCGGCCUUCUAAGAAAUGUAAGACGCAGGCAGUGAGGAGAAAUAAGCACCGGCCUGUCUGGGGGCCGACUCUCCUUAAUGGGGUGUCCUGGGAGACCUCACUUCCUGCCCCGACCCUCAAGUUCCCCCUCUGUGGGCAUCAAGACUUAAGAGAGAUGACAACAGCUACUACCCAUGGCAGCUCUGACGUGUAUUAACAGUCUGGGAGCUGCACUUUGGCCCUCGGAAAGGCGCCCCAAAGCCCGUCCUUUGGGCAGGAGGCGCUGAAUCAUUUCUCAGCGUCUGUAAUGACAUCCGUCAACAUCUUGUUGGAGGGUCAGGUGAGGUUCUCGUGGUGUAAAUAUGGUGACUCGGCCAAGGACCCAGGAACGGUGGACACCUCCUGGCCGAUCA
rnacentral:lncRNA from 1 species